CAAAACAACAACAAACCACCCCUUCUCUCUGAAUGUCUCAUUGGCCAAGAGGGCAGACAGAAGCAUGCCAGUUGUCCAGAGGCAGCAGAACGAACCGUCUGGAUCAGCAGAGGGGGUGUUGCUGCUGCAUCACAGCGGGAGUCUUCCCAAGCCUAUCACCAUUGGAGAACUGGCCUGGGCAUCCAUCUGAGAUAAUUCCAAAGGUCUGAGUAACUGUCAGCUUGGGUCUCUCUCGUCUCUACAUCAUACUGCCAUCUCAAGGCUGUGUUUACACAGCAGGCUUAAAUAAGUACAUCGAGACUGCAAGGCUGUAACCCAUUGCCAUCACCAAACUUGAUAUCUUCAUUUUUAGAACCUGAGCCCUAGGACCAUACGUCAGGACUACCGGGCAUGCUGACACCUUGUUGUCCCCAGUCCGCCCGGCCUUGCUGCUAUUCCAGUUUCAACUGUUUCUGCCUGCGGUUACGAAACCCCUACCUGUCCCAGACCUGCUGUUUUCAACUCUUAAUGAUCGGCUAUGAAAAGCCAACUGAGAUUUAUUCCUGAUUAUUAUUUGACCAUGCUUGUCAUUUAUGAACAUUUUGAAAAUCUUGGCUCUCUCUAAUUUUCUCCUUCUCUCUUUCUCUCGGAGGACCUGAGCCCUAGGACCAUACGUCGGGACUACCGGCCGUGGUGACUCGUUGCUGCCCCCAGUCCGCCUGGCCUUGCUGCUAUUCCAGUUUCAACUCUUCUGCCUGCGGUUAUGGAACCCCUACCUGUCCCAGACCUGCUGUUUUCAACUCUUAAUGAUCGGCUAUGAAAAGCCAACAGAUUUAUUCCUGAUUAUUAUUUGACCAUGCUUGUCAUUUAUGAACAUUUUGAAAAUCUUGGCUCUCUCUAAUUUUCUCCUUCUCUCUUUCUUUCUCUCGGAGGACCUGGGCCCUAGGACCAUGCGUCGGGACUGCCGCCCGUGGUGACUCCUUGCUGUCCCCAGUCCGCCUGGCCUUGCUGCUAUUCCAGUUUCAGCUGUUCUGCCUGCAGUUAUGGAACCGCCACCUGUCCCAGACCUGUUGUUUUUCAACUCUUAAUGAUCAGCUAUGAAAAGCCAACUGAAAAUUAUUCAUGAUUAUUAUUUGACCAUGCUUGUCACUUAUGAACAUUUUUGAACAUCUUGGCAUAGUUCUGUUAUAAUCUCCACCCGGCACAGCCAGAAGAGGACUGGCCACCCCUCAUAGCCUGGUUCCUCUCUAGGUUUCUUCCUAGGUUUUGGCCUUUCUAGGGAGUUUUUCCUAGCCACCGUGCUUCUACACCUGCAUUCUAGCUGUUUGGGGUUUUAGGCUGGGUUUCUGUACAGCACUUCGAGAUAUUAUCUGAUGUACGAAGGGCUAUAUAAAAUAAAAUUGAUUGAUUGAUUGAUUGAUUCGUACCCUGUGUUUUGUGUGUUUAAAGAUGUUUAUUCACUUGUGUCUGAGGCCCCCUACUGGCCAAGAGACCAUAUCUCUAUUUUGGGCCCUAAUAGCCGAUUUAUGUGGUCCUGAGUCUACUGUGAUGGAGUCUACAGAUAAUUUUCCUUGUCUGUCUCUGUACAUCUCUCUGAAGUAUGAGAGGAAUGGUGAGUACAGACAUACCCGUAGUGGAUUCCUCAUCGCUACCAACUGGGUUAUGACUGCUGCCCACUGCAUUGAGAAAGUCAACACAAACACACUGCUGAUAUUGACCAUCACAAAACCUUCAUAAAAAAUAUCAGUUAAGAAAAACAAGCAUUGUGUUUGACCAAUGUGAGAAAUGAUUAGGUCUAUAGCUUUUCCUUAUUCCUUCAUCCAGUUGAACCUGAAUGAUCAUCAAGCACAACCCGGCAGAGGCUGAGCACAGUUCUAAGGCCUACCUCCAGUCAGGAAAGGAAUCCUUGUGCACAGACACCAUAACCCCAUCCUGCUGUCAGUGGGGUACAUUUCACUUGUAGGCCUGGCUUGUAUAAUGGCUUGUAUAAACACAGGUAACACUACACAUACAAUAUAUUCUGUAUAUAAACAAUUAGGUAUUUGUGUUUAUUCCUGUGUAAGGGCCAGGACAGUCUAUGUACAGUAUGUUCUCUUCCAUUACAUUGAUGCUCAUUAUUCCCCUGCUUUGUGUGUGUUCCAGCCAGAGGCCCCACCCCCGACACCCUGCAGCAAGCCCUGAUGCCCAUGGCUCAUCCUGACAUGACCUUCCAGCAUGACAAUGCCACCAGCCAUACUGCUUGUUCUGUGCGUGAUUUCCUGCACGACAGGAAUGUCAGUGUUCUGCCAUGUCCAGCGAAGAGCCUGGAUCUUAAUCACAUUGAGUACGUCUGGGACCUGUUGGAUCGGAGGGUGAGGGCUAGGGCCAUUCCCCCGAGAAAUGUCCGGGAACUUGCAGGUGCCUUGGUGGAAGAGUGGGGUAACAUCUCACAGCAAGAACUGGCAAAUCUGGUGUAGUCCAUGAGGAGGAGAUGCACUGCAGUACUUAAUGCAGCUGGUGGCCACACCAGAUACUGACUGUUACUUUUGAUUUUGACCCCCCCUUUGUUCAGGGACACAUUAUUCCAUUUCUGUUAGUCACAUGUCUGUGGAACUUGUUCAGUUUAUGUCUCAGUUGUUGAAUCUUGUUAUGUUCAUACAAAUAUUUACACAUGUUAAGUUUGCUGAAAAUAAACGCAG